CCGUAGCUCAGUUGGUAGAGCAACUGAUUCGUAAUCAGUAGGUCAGCGGUUCGAUUCCGCUCGG
rnacentral:tRNA from 1 species